rnacentral:lncRNA from 1 species
CCAUUCCCUGUUACUAGAUAGAUAUCAAUGGAUUGACUACCUUCAGAUGUCUGGUUUUAUUCAUGAAAAAAUGGGGAUUGUCUUUGUGAUUCUAGUUCUGUAAAAAAUUUUGCUUGUAUAUGGGGAGUUCCCAUUGUGGCUCAGCAGUAACUAACCUGACUAGUAUCCAUGAGGAUGUGGGUUCAAUCCCCGGCUCUGCUCAGUGGCUUAAGGAUCCGGCAUUGCUGUGAACUGUGGUGUAGUUUGCAGACGUGGCUCAGAUCCGGUGUUGUCAUGGCUGUGGUGUAGGCCAGCAGCUGCAGCUCCGAUUCCACCCCUAGCCUGGGAACUUCCAUUUGCCCCCGGUACGGCCAUAAAAAACCAAAAAAAAAAAAAAAGCUUAUAUAGAUACAAUGAAUAUAACUAGGUUUAGUCUUGAGUUGGGUUUCUGAUACAGGUUCUUCUAGAAUGGCGAACUACCGUAUUUUAUUACUUCACACCUAGAGGUUCAGCUCAGGGUGUAGAUAAUUGCCACUGACGGGAGGUUAAAGGGCACUGAAGUUCUAAACCAGGGUCAAGUGUUAGUCAAAGCGAUGGCUGGUUUAAUCCAAGGCAGCCAGAGAACCUGCACCACUUAUGUGUAUCGGCUACAACUCAAGCAAACAAACAAAUACGUGCACUGGAUUUCCUGACAUCACGGAGAAGGGUUAGCUUGCUUCAUGCCCGGCCGUACACAAAGCAGAGGAAUUAGCCUCCCCAUUAUUAACACUCUCCAAUUUUCUAAAAGAGGAAAACCUCUUGCCUUGGAACCUGUAAGGAUUCCAUCAGUUUAGAAACAAUCCUAAUACGUGCUAGACACGACGUAGACCCAACUCAGCUCUUUCUGUUUUACUUCUCUGUCUCUUCACAUGGACACCUUUUUACGUGUCCAGUUGCUCUCAACUCAUAGAGCAAUGGAAGUGACAACAAGAAGAACGAACAACAACAAAAAAAGAUGAGCAGACAGGCAAGGCUCAUGUUUUUCACCUCCUUUCCUACUGACCAUACACUGCAUGUAGCAAGUGGAAGGCUCUGGUUGGUAGUCAAGAGAAUUUAUAGGGCUUUGAGUUAGUAACGAAAGCAUAGUCAAGACCUUUCAAUCAUGAUAACUGAAUAACUUUACAAAAAGGAGCUUUCUAGUGGAAGAAGAUGGUCGGAAGGGAAUUUUCUGUCCAUCUCUGGCGGCUAAGAUGGCAAUGAUGUUUUCCUGCUCUUAGAAAAGAGAUGCUUCUAUCACUGUUAGAGCCUUUAAAUGAUGAUUCAGGUUUAAAUCUUCUAACUGAAUUGGCAAGUUGCUCAUUUAGAAGGCAAACAAGUAUAGAGAUUUUUUUACUUGGUUCAUUAUCCACAGUGAAUUACCUAUUCAAUUGAAUAGUAAACAUUGAAAAAAUCUCCUUGACUUACCUUUUCAUCAAGUUCAUCAAAUUCAAUCUGCCGCUCUGUGACGGAUUAUAAAAUUAAAAUCAGACACACGCUUCAGGGAAGAGCAAAAGUUUGGGUAGGAGAUAAAACGUUGAUAGAAUCUUGCCGAAAUGUGGGCGUGCUCUUGGUUAAUUAAAAAGCCUCCCCAGUCCACUUGAAAAUGUUACAUCCUGAAGCAGUCUGUAUCCACAGAUAUCCACAGUUUUAAGAAUUAUAUUUUAGGUAAAAUGCUAAAAUUCAGAAGAGUAACAGGAGGCUACAGAUCAGAGUUGGCAAAUCCGUCCACAGGCCAAAUCUGGCCUGUCACCUGUUCUUAUAAAGUUUUAUGGGAAAAAUGCUAUGGUUGUCUGUUUAAAUAUUAGAUUUAUUAAAAAAAAUUUCCCAGUAACUCCUAUGUCAUGUAGAAAACCUGCUGUAUUUACUGAUUAAAAUGUUUGCCAACCCCUGUGCAGAGUACUUGAGCUGGUAGCACAGUGUUUAUUUGCAAUUCCUCUUUUCCUUAGCCAUGGAAGAUGACAGCAAAACCCCUAGUAUUGUGAACAGGAAGUUCGGAAUUGAGAAUAUAAUUAGUUGCCCUUAGAGUAAUCAGCCUUAUUUUAGAUAAGCAACUCCAAUGACAUAUUUAGCCUGAGCCAGGAUCAUCAGGUAUUUAUGUCUGUGGUAUGUUUUUGUUGUGUGUAAUAAACAAGCAGAACGUCCAGAGAGGCUCUAGAUCAUGGCACACGGUCAAGUUCAGACACCCAGCAGUUACCUCUCCCUAAAGUCAGGACUUCUUUCCACUGUUUCACAGAUGUGGCAUGGCACACCAAGGCUCACAAAAUUGGGUAAUUGCUGACACUGUUUUAAACUUUUAGAUCUACCCAGGAGGACUUCCCUUUCUCCACAAUUUUCUUAUGGCGACUAUUAUGGAAACUUCCAAGCCUUAUUAUGUACAUACAAUGAAGCAAUUACUGUUUCCACUUGCUCUACUCCAAGUCUCAGAAUGGUUGGUUAAACUGCAGAGUAGGAAUCGGUCACUAAACCUGAACCAACAGUAAACUCAGAUGAGAGAUGACUCUGGCUACCGGGAGGGAUGAUCAUUUUUAUAGUUGAUUUACCAUGUAGUGUUCAGGUCUGCUGUACAGCAAAGUGACUCAGUGAUACCUGUAUACACACGCAUUCCGGUAUAGGUUAUCACAGAACAUCGAGGAGAUUGCCCGGUGCUUUGUUUUUAGUAACUUACAAGCACAUUCACAAACAUUAUCUCAUGGAGUCCUCACCGUAACUCUGCAAGGGGAGCCAAGGUCAACAUCCAUGGGAUCAGCUCAUGGGGUGUUCAUUUCCUCACCAACACUUGCAUGACGAAGAGUCAAAACACUAGAGAACAUUCAUAACUCAUAGAUAGAAUCAGGUUUUCACAACUCGUAGGUAGAAUCAGGAUAAACAACAAGAGCCUAUUGUAUAGUUCCGAGAACUAUAUUCAGUGGCCUGUGAUAAACCUUAAUGGAAAAGAUGAUAGAAAAGUGUGUGUAUAUAUGUGUAUAUAUUUAUAUACGUGUACCUGAAUCACCGUGUUGAAAGUAACACCGCAUGGUAAAUCAACAAUGCUUCAAAGAAAAACAAAAUUUAAAAAAAUACAUUUGAUUUUCUGCAAUAUCCUACACGAACUUCCGAAGAGAAUCCACUCACAAGGAGUCACAUUAGAUCCCAUUUGUCAUUUGUCCAUAGAACUUCGUUGAUAAUUAAUCAGUCCCAUGUGUUGUUUAGUCACUGUCUUUGUUUCCCAUUGCCACUUAGCAAAUUGUCAAAAACUUGAUGGUUUAAAAAAUAAUAAUCUGGGAGUUCCCGUCGUGGCUCAGUGGUUAACGAAUUGGACUAGGAACCAUGAGGUUUCGGGUUCCAUCCCUGGCCUUGCUCAGUGGGUUAAGGAUCUGGCGUUGCUGUGAGUUGUGGUGUUGGUCAAAGAUGCGGCUCAGAUCCCAAGUUGCCGUGGCUCUGGUGUAGGCCGGCAGCUGCAGCUCCGAUGAGACCCCUAGACUGGGAACCUCCAUAUGUCAUGGGGGAAAUCUCUAGAAAAGACAAAAAAAAAAAAAAAUCUUAAGACUUUAUAGUUGGGAGGUCAGAAGUCUGUAAGUCAGUCUCCCUCUCCCAGGACUGAAACAUGGGGUGGGCAGGGCCGUGCUCUAGGGGAAAACAGUCUCGGCCCACAUUCCUUGGCUCGAGGCUCCCUUCCAACUUCAAGGUCGGCAAUGGCCAAUCAAGAGAUGCUCACACUACACCCUUCUGAUGCCGACUCUUCCCUUUCCGUCUUCCAGCUUUAAGAGGCCUGCUCGGAUGACCCAUGACAGUUCCCCUCUCUUAGUCAUUUCAUUAGUAAACCGAAGUUGUUCACUGCUUUCCCUUUUGCUGUGUAAGGAGGCACAACAGGCUCCCAGGAUUAGGAUGUAGGCAUCUGGGGGCGAGGGAGGGGUGGCAUUAAUGUGCCUGCUGCCGUCACCAUGUCAAGCACUGUCCUAAAGGCUGGAGUGACCUCAGCCAGUGAUGCUCCCAGAUGUGCUAUGAUGACUAUUCUUGAUCUGUUUUAUGGCUGAGAAAAUCACCUCUGCCAGAACUGGCUUCUCUCGGGUCACGACUGGUCCCUGGCAGAACGGGGUUCUGACUGCUUCCUGCUGCCUGCCCCUGAAUGCUUUAUUCUUUGCAUGAGGCCCUGAAGCUUCCUGUGUCUGUCCUCGUCCUUACCAGGCACUGACCCCAGGGUUUGUCCAGUUCGCUGUGAAAUGUAUCUGUGCGGUUUCCUGAGACAACAACCCUGGGGGCUCAAAUACUCAAGCCGACUCCUAUGUUCAGAUAAGAAACAGGAGGAGCCCUUGGACAGAAAUACAAAAAACCCCAAUCCCUGAUUCGUGACAAUGGAAGCCGUUUUAAAGACUACGUGGAGUGAUGGUUUUGAAUGCACACAUGGCUACUCGGAAAGGCUUUUUCUUUUGUUUCUGAAUGUCCUCGUGAUAUUGGAGGAUUUCUUGUGUGAGUGAAAUCAUUCUUCUCUUUUAUACUGAAUUCUGUUGUAAAUGACAUUGCUAUGUAUUUCAAUGCAUUUGACUCAUUUAUGGAGGUGUUUCAAGCCCUGUUUCAUGAAUCAGAUGUUACCGUGUUAAGAUAUAUGCCAAUAAAAUUCUAGCUCUGGAAAAAGAUGCAGAAAAAAAAACCCUUUAAAUCCAAUUGACUCAGUGAUAUCUCACAAGCAAUCUAAACCCAGCUUCGUAACCCCCCUGUGUGUUUUUAAGUGAAAUCUUCCUCCUACACCUACAAGGGGAUUCGGCAGAUGACAUGAAGUUUGCAAGGUUCACGGUGACCUCAGGAAGUCACCAGGCAGAAUUAAAGCUUCCCUCCUCCCACCCAAUCCAUUAAGAUUUCUGUUCUAAUUCCUUUAUCGAAGUUUCCUUUCCCAGGGUGCAGAUACGGGGCUAAACGCUUUGAAGACAGACUUUGUUUUAGUCCCUAGUUCCUGUUGCCCUUGAGAUUGGGGGGUGUGGUAAGUACAGAGAUGAAAAGCCGUCAAGGUCACAAUUAUUCCAAUGGACCUUAAAGACAGGUUUCAUCUUUAUUUCAAUAAGUUAACCAAGGAAAAAUAAGAUUCUUUUCAGGUUUUGGGGGUUUUUUGGUUUUUGUUGUUGUUGCUGUAUUUUUGGAAAAAGAGAAAGAAAGGAAUAAUGUCCCACUGCACUGAAAAAUACACACGUCCUCCUGGGAUAACAAACAUAAUUCAUUCUCACUCUGGUAACCGGUGAGAUCACUUCCUGGUAG